rnacentral:rRNA from 1 species
UAGGGAAUCUUCCGCAAUGGGCGAAAGCCUGACGGAGCAACGCCGCGUGAGUGAAGAAGGAUUUCGGUUCGUAAAGCUCUGUUGUUAGGGAAGAAUGGAUAUGUAGUAACUAUACAUAUAAGAGACGGUACCUAACCAGAAAGCCACGGCUAACUACGUGCCAGCAGCCGCGGUAAUACGUAGGUGGCAAGCGUUGUCCGGAAUUAUUGGGCGUAAAGCGCGCGCAGGUGGUUUAAUAAGUCUGAUGUGAAAGCCCACGGCUCAACCGUGGAGGGUCAUUGGAAACUGUUAAACUUGAGUGCAGGAGAGAAAAGUGGAAUUCCUAGUGUAGCGGUGAAAUGCGUAGAGAUUAGGAGGAACACCAGUGGCGAAGGCGGCUUUUUGGCCUGUAACUGACACUGAGGCGCGAAAGCGUGGGGAGCAAACAGGAUUAGAUACCCUGGUAGUCCACGCCGUAAACGAUGAGUGCUAAGUGUUGGUCUCAUAAGAGAUCAGUGCUGCAGCUAACGCAUUAAGCACUCCGCCUGGGGAGUACGACCGCAAGGUUG